AGUGAACGCUGGCGGUAGGCCUAACACAUGCAAGUCGAACGGCAGCACAGUAAGAGCUUGCUCUUACGGGUGGCGAGUGGCGGACGGGUGAGGAAUACAUCGGAAUCUACUUUUUCGUGGGGGAUAACGUAGGGAAACUUACGCUACUACCGCAUACGACCUACGGGUGAAAGCAGGGGAUCUUCGGACCUUGCGCGAUUGAAUGAGCCGAUGUCGGAUUAGCUAGUUGGCGGGGUAAAGGCCCACCAAGGCGACGAUCCGUAGCUGGUCUGAGAGGAUGAUCAGCCACACUGGAACUGAGACACGGUCCAGACUCCUACGGGAGGCAGCAGUGGGGAAUAUUGGACAAUGGGCGAAAGCCUGAUCCAGCCAUACCGCGUGGGUGAAGAAGGCCUUCGGGUUGUAAAGCCCUUUUGUUGGGAAAGAAAAGCAGCAGGUUAAUACCCCGCUGUUCUGACGGUACCCAAAGAAUAAGCACCGGCUAACUUCGUG
rnacentral:rRNA from 1 species